AUUGAACGCUGGCGGUAUGCUUAACACAUGCAAGUCGAACGGUAACAGGCCUUCGGGCGCUGACGAGUGGCGGACGGGUGAGUAACGAGUAGGAAUCUGCCUCAUAGUGGGGGACAACGUGGGGAAACUCACGCUAAUACCGCAUACGCCCUACGGGGGAAAGCGGGGGAUCUUCGGACCUCGCGCUAUGAGAUGAGCCUGCGUUAGAUUAGCUAGUUGGUAGGGUAAAGGCCUACCAAGGCGACGAGCUAUAGCUGGUCUGAGAGGACGAUCAGCCACACUGGGACUGAGACACGGCCCAGACUCCUACGGGAGGCAGCAGUGGGGAAUAUUGGACAAUGGGCGCAAGCCUGAUCCAGCAAUACCGCGUGUGUGAAGAAGGCCCUAGGGUUGUAAAGCACUUUCAAUAGGGAGGAAAACCUGCCGGUCAAUACCCGGCAGCUUGACAUUACCUAUAGAAGAAGCACCGGCUAACUCCGUGCCAGCAGCCGCCGUAAGAC
rnacentral:rRNA from 1 species